ACUCCUGGAUCCUGCGUGCUUUCUCAGGUUCAAUACGCCGGACCUCAUUGGUGAUGUUCUGCAAAGGGGAGAGAGGUGGGCAGCAGGUGCAGUUUUAAGCACACUUUCCCGUAAUCUAUGCAUUUUUGAACACACUGGUCGGUAGGAACCUCACUGCAAAAUUCAGAGAACUGCAACAUUGAAGGAAAUUCAGUUUGUGUAUUCAGGAACCGUGAAUUAAAAUGCAAACCUAAA